rnacentral:tRNA from 2 species
GUAGUCGUGGCCGAGUGGUUAAGGUGAUUGACUAGAAAUCCAUUGGGGUCUCCCCACGCAGGUUCGAAUCCUGCCGACUACG